rnacentral:rRNA from 1 species
AGGACGAACGCUGGCGGCGUGCUUAACACAUGCAAGUGGAGCGACGAACCAGGCUUCGGCCUGGGGCAGAGCCGCGAACGGGUGAGUAACACGUGGGUAACCUGCCCUGAUGAUUGGGACAACCCGAGGAAACUCGGGCUAAUACCAAAUGUGCCCCCUGGCCUCAAGGCCUUUGGGGAAAGGAAGCUUCGGCCUCCGCAUCGGGAUGGGCCCGCGGCCCAUUAGCUUGUUGGUGAGGUAAUGGCUCACCAAGGCUACGAUGGGUAGCUGGUCUGAGAGGACGAUCAGCCACACUGGGACUGAGACACGGCCCAGACUCCUACGGGAGGCAGCAGUGGGGAAUCUUGCGCAAUGCGCGAAAGCGUGACGCAGCAACGCCGCGUGGGGGAAGAAGGCCUUCGGGUUGUAAACCCCUUUCAGUUGGACGAAGCUUCGCCGGUGAACAGCCGGCUGGAGUGACGGUACCUUCAGAAGAGCCCGGCUACUACGUGCCAGCGAGCCGCGGUAAU